GCGAGAGGAGUUGUUAUCUCGGCAGAGCCCAGAGAGGGCCUGGCGGGAGGCUGCAGAACCUGGUGGGCCGUCGAGGCCCUGCCAGCAAAGCCCACCCCGCCUCGAUUGUGGGCGGCUUCGGGUGGUCAGUUAGGUCCCCUCCUGCCUCGGGACGGAAAGGCCUUUGGAAAAGAUCGGGGUGCCGGUGAGAGACAGAGCUUGCACUAGGGCUUUAGCUUCCCCUAGGGUCGUUUUACAUUGUAUUGCGCAAUUAGGCAAGCUAUUAGCUGCUAUAGGAAGAAUGGAUUAGAGGGAGACCAGCCUAGAAGCAGAGACCAGUGCAGAGGCUCCUUCAAGUGGUCCAGGGUCAAAGUGAAGAGCAAAGAUGAUCCCAGUCACUGUGCCAGGUGGCAGCAUGCCACCCUGCAGUGCUAACAGUCACAUGACCAUGGAUUGAAUCUCCAGCCUGUUCAGCUUGACACAUGCUGGGCACAGAUAGAAGUGCCCAAGAUCCAACACACUGCAGGACUGCGUAAAGUGUAUCGUGGCAUGACCAGACCCUGUGGAGGGUGCUUCCCCACCUCCCUGAUGCAAAUGCACAU